GACGAACGCUGGCGGCGUGCUUAACACAUGCAAGUCGAACGGAAAGGCCCUGCUUGCAGGGUACUCGAGUGGCGAACGGGUGAGUAACACGUGGGUGAUCUGCCCUGCACUUCGGGAUAAGCCUGGGAAACUGGGUCUAAUACCGGAUAGGAGCCAUUUUUAUGGUGGGGGUUGGAAGGUUUUUUCGGUGUAGUAUGAGCUCGCUGCCUAUCAGCUUGUUGGUGGGGUAAUGGCCUACCAAGGCGGCGACGGGUAGCCGGCCUGAGAGGGUGGACGGCCACAUUGGGACUGAGAUACGGCCCAGACUCCUACGGGAGGCAGCAGUGGGGAAUAUUGCACCAUGGGCGCAAGCCUGAUGCAGCGACGCCGCGUGGGGGAUGAAGGCCUUCGGGUUGUAAACUCCUUUCGCUAGGGACGAAGCUUUUUGUGACGGUACCUAGAGAAGAAGCACCGGCUAACUACGUG
rnacentral:rRNA from 1 species